UUCACAGCACAACAGUCUUUUUCAUUGCCUGGCUAUCGAGUACGGAGGAAGUCAUCCGGCCGUCCAAUUCUGUCGAUCUUGUUUUGUCUUAUUGGUGGUAAUCGUAGAGAAGAAUCCUACUAAAACGAAACGAAGAGGCGGAGGCUAAACUGGGGGCAGAGACGAAAGAAGGAGAACUGGAGAAGACAAUAUUUCAACCUUGAAGCCUACAAUCCAAAUGCUUGGCAGCAAGAUGAAAGAAAGUUCAGAAGAAGACUCACAUGUGGCAAGAGUGAAGAUGAAACAAGUAAAGUCGAGCCUAAUAUUCGGAAUGGGAGGCAUUGGGAAACGGUAGUUUUCUUCACAUGCAUGCUUUUUAUUUGUUAAAUACUUUGAUUGGUGGAUAAAUCAUGAGUUAUAUUUUUUCUAUUCAUUUAUAAUUACAACGGACAGAGGAGAACCAAUUUCCAAUCAAAUGAGAGAUAAAUACAGAGGACUGAUCAUGUUUGUAUUGUUUUGUUUAGACUUGAAAAAAGUUGACCCAACAGACUGAUUAUGUUUAUACAAUUAUAUUUGGUCUUCACUCCAUAUUGUUUACUCCUUUAAUUGUUAAGUGCUUAAGUUUUUUAUUUUUUAUUUGAAAUUUGAAGGUUAAAUCCUUUAAUUUUGUCCGUUUACAUAUAUUUUUUAGUUAUGUUCUUAUAUUUCAGUUAGAUGAUCCGAUUUGACCCAUGGGCCAACCCUAACCCAAGUAUUUAGGGUUAGGGCAUAUCAUUUGACAACUCAACUCGAAUUUCAACCAAAACUGAAAUCAACUCAACUAGUCUUGACCCAAUCCGAACCUUACCCACCCAUAAUAUCUUACUGAUAUGUUACUGUAGUUUUAUUUUUUUGUCCAUUUGUGUUAGAUGGAUCGACCUAUUGAGGUGGAGAUCUCACUAGUAGACAUCCUCCGAUGUGUUACAGACGCAUGCAACAUUCCACGGCCCGAAUGCGCUAUAAAAGCGGUGGGCGAACAAUCACAAGCAGUGAUCACCCUAUAUGCAUGGGGUGAAGAAAUAUUGUUCGAGGGUGACAUAUGUCCCACGAUCAACUCGCCUAUUCAAUCGGCUGCCAAGGCAGCCAUUGAAUACUUGAAAACACGGCGCCACAUUGAGGUAAAAGACUCAAACCUUGAUCUCUCGAAGCGUUACUAGCUUUUAUGGAAUGAAUGAGAGGUCGAGCUAAAGGAAGUCAAGGCAGAGAUCCGGGCAUUGACACGCGAAAAUGGAUACAUUUGACGGGAAAUUGACCAUCUAGAGAAUAGGGGUGACUCGAGCGUGUGAAGUAGCCAUCAUUUUUUAAUGGUAUUAGGGCCAUAACGUUCAUAACAUGUAAUGCUAUUUUAUAAUAGCUUUUUGUUUCUCAAACUCUGUUAGUUGUGAAUUAGUUAUGUGUUCAUAACAUUCCAUCUCGGUAACUGCAUACAAUAAUCCACUCAAUGUGGAUUACACUAGGCUAGGACACACAACAGUGAUCCCAUGCACUAUACAUGUUCACCCUAUCGGUUGCGUCCGAAGGUGAACGGGCCCGGAGAUUGACUGAUCGGGUCUCGGAUUAACUAUACGGUUAAUUUAUUUAGGUGAAUACCCUGUAUUAGAUGGUUUAUUGUUGGGAGUUGAUUUCUUGGUUUUGUUGAGUGAUAAUUGAGUUUUGUCAUUCUUUAUAUGAAAUUGAAAUGGUACACUAUCUUCAGAUUGUCUUUGGGACAAGGUGCUCCACUAAACAAUUUAGGGAGAUGUUUAAUAGUUUGUUUCUAAGUUUGGAGUAUAAGAAAAGGCUCCAACAAACUCCCUUUAGACACUUCUUGAAUUUGCCACAUAUGAUUGUGGAGACAUCCCUUUUGAUUUAUCUAGUAAAAUCAUGGGAAUCGACUAGCCAUUGCUUUACAAUUGGUGAAAGGACUGUAUAAUUCAACGAAGCCGAUGUUGCCUUGAUAACGAGGCUUAGCCUGUUGGGUAGGACAGUUGCCCUAUCGGAAGACCUUCUCGAUAGUGAAUUGUUCAAACAAUCAUUUGGCUUGGAUGAAAAUCACUUUGCCUCUAUAAAGUUUGAUUUGGUGUGGCAUAAGCUAAAAAAGAUUGUUCCAAGGCGGGUGAAAGCCUUCCCUCUUUUUUUGUUCUAUUCGACUGGCUUAUCAUAAGAUAUCGAAAGGCUUUGCCGCUAUCUGGGAAUUAUUUAYGUAGUUAUUGUCUACCAAAAAAAGGAAGAGCUAUGCGACGUCGUCGGGGGCCGUCUGUUUCUGUUCCUAGAGAACCUUGGUGUUCUGRGGCCCUUUCAACCGGGCUUACACUUCCUUUUUAUGAAAACGCGCUAUGUUAUUUGCACUAUGUUUCUCUAAUAUUGUUAGUUUUUCUCUGCAUGUGUGUGCAUGUGUUUUUCUUUAAUAUUGCUAACUUUUCUCAGUUUCUUUAUUACUAGCGGUGUGGUUUCUAUCGACCCGACUUCCUACUAUUUCUGCCUCCAUACAGGAGGCUUCUGGACUUCAGAAAUAGCAGCAUCAGGACUCGGAUGACGAUUUCGAUGAGUACUUUGAGGCAGUAUUGCCUCAUCCCCAGGAUUUGGAGGCAACAUUGCCUCCAAGAGUUGCCUCCAAGAAAGGUGGGAAGAUUGCCACCAAAACCUAAAGUAUAUCCUCGCCUUGAAAAUUUUAACAUGAGCAAGGGUCCCAAUGAAGAGUUCAAGUUGAUACCUGUUUAUAAUUAAAUUUAUCUUGAGAUGCUUUUUGAGGAAUGAAGUGGAAGGGUCCUAAAAAAUUUGUUACUUUUUGGAUAUUAGAAUCCUUUUAUUUUGUGAUGAAUAUUUUUGUAUUUGUUCAAUUACAAUACAUUUGAAGUCUUGAACAAGUGUAUUAAAUUAAACAAUGAUGUAAAGUUUAAGAUGAUCCGUUCUGUUGAUGUAAAGUUUUUGAUCAUUAGGAGGGCUACAAAUUCUGUUGCAGAUUUGUUAUCCAAAUUAGCUUUUAAUAGAUCUCAAUAUGUAGGUUGGAUAACAAACUAUCUUCUAGUUAUUUCUUCUUUGUUGUAUGCAUACUUUGUUUCUCAUUAAUGAUAUUUUGAUAUUAUAUGUUCAAAAAAAAACAAUGAACUUUGUCCAGUGGCAAUUAGAUUUGUAAAAUGCUAGAUUAUAAAUGGUACCAUUCAAUUUGCAUCUAAAUAUAUUGAAUACAUUUUUAGGCUAAAAUUAUAAUAGUUUUUAAGCUAAUUUGGAAAAAUUUGUUAGUCUUUAAGUUAAUUUGGAAAAGUGAAAAAAACUGAUUUUUUUUUUAAAUAUAUAAAUCGGGUCGGGUCAGGCUUUAACGGGCUUCUCUAAAGAGGAUGGGCUCGGGCUUGAACAAUUUAAAAUAAAAUGAGCCUCGGGCUGUGCCGGGAUCAGGCCUAAGAAAAAAAUUGCAAGCUCGAGUGAGCCCGAACCGAGCCCGACCCAUCCCGACCAUGAACAAGUCUACUAGCUAUACAAGAAAAGAAAAUUGUGUUCAUUGUGUCCAACGUCAAUUUAAUUAUUUCGUAAAGUUUUUGGAAAUCUGUCAAUGUGGAAUGUUUAAUCACAUUUCUCUUAAUAAUUCUUAGAGUAAAAUUUGUCAAUUCAGUAUUGCUAAAGGAACUCCAAAUACUAGUACUUUGCGUAUUUUUAUACUAUGCAAAUUCUUUGUAAAUAAAGUACUAGUACUUUACGUUCUAAACUCGGACAUGAAAUUAGUUUAAGGAAAGAGAAUUUCAGACAUGAAAUGUGAUCAAAGACACUCAAAGCAGCAACUUGCUUUAACUUGUCAAGUUGCUGCUGAUCCUCUCCCAUUUGCUAGAAGGUAAAAUUCUUUUAUUUUGCUUCUCCUUGAACAAAAUUGCUUGUGGUGUAAAUAUCCCACGUUUAAUAAAAUACAAAAUACUAUAAGACCUACAGAGUGAUGAGGGCCAAACACACAUAUAUAUGUGUGAUUCUUAACAUGGUGAUGCUAUAUCUGAAGAGGUGAGAAACAUAGUGCAAAUAACAAAGCAUCAGCAAACGUUGUGCCGGUACUUCUGUGCUUGGUGAUGGGCAAACAAACAUGACACUAACUCUUCCCUUUCCCUCUUUUUGCAUUUCGUUCCUCUUCCAACUCUUCCCUUUCCCUCUUUCACUAAAUCACGCAAUUUUCCCUCUUUUCCUCUUUGCGCAACAGACAAUUUUCCCUCUCUUCCAUUGUCAUUCUUAGUGGCUCCUUGCAUCUAGUAGUUGUACUUUUGUGAAUAAAAGUCUGGUUUUGCUGUUGAAAAAAGUCCGAUUUUGUUCUACUGUCUCUAGAAGAUUAACAUGUUAGUUCUUACAGAUAAAUUCUUUAUGUUCAUCUCUUUACUGUGAAAGUAAAUUUGAUAAAUUUGGUUAAUAAGACUCCGUUCGGUUACGUUGUGGUUACUGGUUUUUUGUUUUUUUUUUUUUAUUUUGAAAAAAAACUAAAAACUCAUUUGGCUAGGAUUGUGUGUUUUCCUUUUCUAUUUAAUUACACAUGCGUUUUUUUGCGGUUUAAAAACGAAAUAAUGGAUAGCAAACAUUCUGGUCAGUCGUUUAGUGCUUUUUUUUUCCUUACUCUCUGUACUAGUGAUAGACGAUUAUCCAAAGACCAGUGGAUUAGUUUGAAUGUGUUUUAUGGUCAGAAAUAUUCUUAGAUUUCAUAUGUAGGGAUGUAUUGAUAAUUUAUAUGUUGUGUAAAUUUGUGUAGUUGACAAAGUCCAAAUCUGUGACAAACUUAUUUUAUUUGUGGUUUCAUUUUUUUAAGUAUUUUGUAGUAUUUUUCCAUUGAUGAACUUGUAAUAGAUUCUUCCUGGAUGCAUUUUUCUCCUUGUUUUUAGAUUGCAAGUUACUGUGAAAAGAGAGAAUUAUAUUAAUGUGGGAAUUUUAUGAUCAAUGGUUGUGUGAUGAUGAUGUUGGUUGAAACCCUAUAGGAUUCACUAAAAUCAGCAUGAUCAAUUAUUUUACUACUAUUAAAACAAAAUACCAGAAAUUCCAGAAAACUGAAUUACCAGAAAUUGCUUACAUAUAGUGCAGUCAGCCCAUUACACAAAUUAAUGAUCAUAAAAAAAAAUAUAUCAUGACUAUCAAUUAGAAACUACAAGAUUAGGAAAUUGAGACUCUCUCUUAAUUACUGAUAAUACAUGAGGAAGUGGAUGGUGAUGAUUUUAAGCUGGUACUUUGGGUGUUCUCAUAAUUUUUUUUUUAAGUUAGUUCUCAACUUAAGUACUAGUACUGUACGUUCUAAUCUCAGUCAGAUUACUGUUUUUGGAUAUGCUCUUAUUAUUUUUUGGGUCUAAUUUAUUUUUGUUUACAAAUGGAUGCUACAAAUAUUUAUCCCAGAGUGCAAACAUUGGACCAUGUUGAAAUGCUCUGUAGUUAGCAACUAGAUGACAGAGUGAGGCAAAUUGUGCAGAACACAAGCAUGUACCGGUUUGCUUCCAUCAUUUUUUAUUUAAAAUUAGAUACAAAACUUUUAUCUUUUCUUUGUCACUCCUAUAAUAUAAACGAUUCUUCAUUUCAUAUAGGAGAAUAUAGAUUAUAUUUAGGAUUAGAAGAUAUGUUUUAUUUGACUGGACUUCCCAUUAAUGGGGAAGCAGUCACUUCAAAUGCUAUAGGGAUAGAAAUUGUAUGUCAAAAUUACUAGGCAUUGCUCCAACCAAUAACAGUGCAGAUUUUUUUCUGAACCAAUUGAAAGAUUUUCAGCGAGGUUGUGUGAUUGUUCCUGGGUUGCCAAAAUUAAAGGUACCAACUAUGUAUGUUAGACUCCUUGAAGAUAUAUCAAGAGUUGAUAAAUUUGCAUGGGGGAUCAGCCAUGUUGGCUCAUCUCCAUGAAGUUUUGCAUAAUGUGAAGGGCAAGAGGAAGAACAUUUUAGGCAACUGCUUGAUACUUCAGAUUUUUGCUUUGGUGUGCAUUCCCAUGCUUGCUACCUAUUUCUCAUUAUAUUCGGUUCAAAAUUUUCUGAAAUCUUUCCCUCUUGUAAGAGGCUGCUGGUCAUAAACCAUUGCAAAAAGAUCCAAGGACACCAUGAAUAGAAUGUGUUUACCUACAGCCAUAUAUACUAAAAUGACAACCAGGUGGGGAUUUCAUGGAGGCCAUAUACCGGUGUUGAAGAUGUACCUGUUGAAAUGGCUGGCCAAUUAAAAUUGUGCUUAGGUAGGGUACAUCUAAUUUGCUUGAACCGGAUCUGUGUCUAUGACUCUCGCUUGUGUGAACAUCAAUUGAGUUGCUCGCUUGUGCAAUCUGCGUUGAGGAAGCCAAUCAAAGUGAAAUCGAAGACAAGGAAGGGAGACCCAAGAGACUGGCCUACGUAUUGCGCAGACUACGUAACUGCUUGGAAUGAGGAACGAGAUUUUCUGGUGCCUAGUCCCUUUCCGCCUGCCAGUCCCUCUGCACCUGCCAACCUUGCACUGGUGCCUUAUACAUCCAUCGGUCCCUGCUCCGUCUGCCAUCCGCUCUCCGCCUGCCAGCCCCUUCCUUCACAUUCAGGAAGAGCUGCAGGAAAAUGUGGAGGAGCAAGUAGAUGGGAGCUCUCUUGCCAUCCCCUCCCCCCACAUUCAGGAAGAGCCGCAGGCAAAUGUGGAGGAGCAAGAAGGUGGGAGAUCUCCAAAAAAGUCAAAGCGAACCAAGAGAACACCUUUUAACUUGAAAGGACAUGAUUAUCCGCAAACUUUCUUACGUAAUAUCAGACAUGGAAAAAAAAGAUGGUGAUGGAUGCAGUAAAUAAGCCUAUUUCUGCAGGUUGGUUGGACGAGUACUCAGGUGCAACGAGUUUGCCUAGUAUGAAUACACUAAGUACAAGUACUUGACAUGAAAGAAUUUGAAAUGUUUCUGCUUUGAUGUAAAUGUUUCUUCAUUGACUGCAAUGUAAAUGUUUCUGCUUUGAAAUCUGUUAUGUUUAUAAAUGUUUGUGCUUUAAUAAUAUGCUUUGAUGUAAUAAUUGUGA